GACGAACGCUGGCGGCGCGCUUAACACAUGCAAGUCGAGCGAUGAAAUUUCGACAGAUCCCUUCGGGGUGAAGAUGAAAUGGAUUAGCGGCGGACGGGUGAGUAACACGUGAGUAACCUGCCUUUGACAUUGGGAUAGCCUCGGGAAACUGGGAUUAAUACCAAAUGACACUAACUGAUCACAUGAUCAAUUAGUCAAAGAAAUUCGGUCAAAGAUGGACUCGCGGCUGAUUAGCUAGUUGGUGAGGUAACGGCCCACCAAGGCGACGAUCAGUAGCCGGGCUGAGAGGGUGAUCGGCCACAUUGGAACUGAGACACGGUCCAAACUCCUACGGGAGGCAGCAGUGGGGAAUAUUGCACAAUGGGGGAAACCCUGAUGCAGCGACGCCGCGUGAGCGAAGAAAGCCUUCGGGUCGUAAAGCUCUUUUAUGAGGGAAGAUAAUGACGGUACCUCAAGAAAAAGCCCCGGCUAACUACGUG
rnacentral:rRNA from 1 species